UGAGAGCAGCGCUCCCCACGGCUG
rnacentral:piRNA from 1 species